rnacentral:lncRNA from 1 species
UUAGAAAAAACCCUUCUUUUGCAACCCACAGCUGAUGAACAUAUUAGUUGUGUUACUUAUAUGAAGGGACAAUAUUCGCGUGUAUUCAAACAGCAAUUAAUUCAAAUACUGAUGAAUGUAGGGAAUGAGUGUCAUGUUCCUGAUUUGCAGAAGUGUAGUUCAGUUAUAUCAAUUUCUUUCCAGAUGCUGCAGCUGAACACGCCAGCUCUGCAGCAGUGAGCAGUUGUAACUUUGCUUGAAUGCUUAUGGCUGUUUGCUGGCCUUCUGAUGUACAAGUAUUACUUCAGUGGACAUUUGUGGAACAUGUUAGCAAAAGAUGUAAGCUUUGUGUUUCCUUACUAUUUCCCACAACAAGUAAUCUGUAAUUUGUGCACUGUAUGGUAUCUGCACCCAGCAGUGUCUUCCUGAUGGGGUGUUCAAAAAGCAGUGCUACAGUAUUUCAGCAGCUGGCAUCGUUGGUUUUCAUGCAGAUGUGCUGGUUAAACUUGGUAUUUCUGUUGAAACAAGUAGAUUGAAAGUUUCUUAGUGGGGAGCUUGUCAAAUACAACAUUGAAGAACUGUUAAGGGAGAAAAGUAUAGUUAAAUCAAUGACCUUGCUGCAAAAUAUUUCUUCUUACAGGGGCAUUCCUGUGAUGUCUGGAACACAGUGGCAAGUAUCUACUUCAGGGAAGUCCACGAUAGCCCAGUCUGAACUAGCAUCUUGGUGGUAUGUAAUUAGAGAAGAUGAGACAAGAAAUGCAGGAUGCCAUUUCACAGAAAUCUGAAGUGCUUCCUAGGGUUAGUAUGACAUCUGAAGUUCUGCAUAUUCCUUAAUGAUUUAAGAGCUCUGGUUUUCAGUGGCUGGAAGUCUGUAUGACAUCAAGCUUACUGACUUGUGGAGGGUUUCAGGGAGUUGUUUCAACUGUAUUUUAAUCUAGCAUUCACUCUAAGUGAAGAAUUUAUUUUAACUUUGAUUUGUCCAAAGAACACUCACAAAUUUCUCAGUCAAAAAGGAGGUGAUCAGCUUAACUGCUUCAACUGAUAGUAUUACUUGUACAAGUAAUUAAUUUAACACUUAGCAGGAAAGUUAUGUGGAGGAUUCUGUUUGAGUACAAUUUUGUAGUUAAUUCCCUUUGUUCU